CCUACGGGUGGCAGCAGUGGGGAAUAUUGCACAAUGGGGGAAACCCUGAUGCAGCGACGCCGCGUGAAGGAAGAAGUAUUUCGGUAUGUAAACUUCUAUCAGCAGGGAAGAAAAUGACGGUACCUGACUAAGAAGCACCGUCUAACGCCGUGCCAGCAGCCGCGGUAAUACGUAGGGGGCAAGCGUUCUCCGGCAUGACUGGGUGUAAAGGGAGCUUAGGCGGCGAUGCAAGUCAGCAGUGAAAGCCAGGGGCUCAACUCCGGGACUGCUUUUGAAACUGUAUGGCUAGAUUGCAGGAGAGGCAAGUGGAAUUCCUAGUGUAGCGGUGAAAUGCGUAGAUAUUAGGAGGAACACCAGUGGCGAAGGCGGCUUGCUGGACUGUAAAUGACGCUGAGGCUCGAAAGCGUGGGGAGCAAACAGGAUUAGAUACCCGAGUAGUC
rnacentral:rRNA from 1 species